rnacentral:rRNA from 1 species
GGGGAAUCUUGCGCAAUGGGAGCAAUCCUGACGCAGCGACGCCGCGUGGGGGAGGAAGGGCUUCGGCUCGUAAACCCCUGUUGCCCGGGGCGAACCUCUGGUUUCGACCAGACUGACGGUACCGGGUGAGGAAGCACCGGCUAACUCCGUGCCAGCAGCCGCGGUAAUACGGAGGGUGCGAGCGUUGUCCGGAAUCACUGGGCGUAAAGGGCGCGUAGGCGGCAUGCCAAGCGUGUGGUGAAAGCCCGGGGCUCAACCCCGGGUCGGCCGUGCGGACUGGCAUGCUCGAGCACUGUAGGGGCGGGUGGAAUUCCGGGUGUAGCGGUGGAAUGCGUAGAGAUCCGGAAGAACACCGGUGGCGAAGGCGGCCUGCUGGGCAGUUUGGCUGACACUGAGGCGCGACAGCGUGGGGAGCAAAC